rnacentral:rRNA from 1 species
CUCUUGAGAGCGGCGGACGGGUGAAUAAUGCCUGAGAAUCUGCCUGGUAGUGGGGGAUAACGUUAGGAAACGGACGCUAAUACCGCAAACCUCCUACGGGAGAAAGCAUGGGACCUUCGGGCCUUGCGCUAUCACAUGAGCCUAGGUCGGAUUAUCUAAUUGGUGGGGUAAUGGCUCACCAAGGCGACAAUCCGAAACUGGUCUGAGAGGAUGAUCAGUCACACUGGAACUGAGACACGGUCCAGACUCCUACAGGAGGCAGCAGUGGGGAAUAUUGGACAAUGGGCGAAAGCCUGAUCCCGCCAUGCCGCGUGUGUGAAGAAGGUCUUCGGAUUGUAAAGCACUUUAAGUUGGGAGGAAGGGUUGUAGAUUAAUACUCUGCAAUUUUGACGUUACCGACGUAAUAAGCACCGGCUAACUCUGUGCCAUCAGCCCCGGUAAUACAGAGGGUGCAAGCGUUAAUCGGAAUUACUGGGCGUAAAGCGCGCGUAGGUGGUUUGUUAAUUUGGAUGUGAAAUCCCCGGGCUCAACCUGGCAACUGCAUUCAAAACUGACUGACUAGAGUAUGGUAGAGGGUGGGUGGAAUUUCCUGUGUAGCGGUGUAAUGCGUAGAUAUAGGAAGGAACACCAGUGGAUCAAUGCGACCACCUGGACUACUACUGACACUGAGGUGCUGAAGCAUGAGGAGCAGACAAGAUUACAUACCCUGAUAGUCCGCGCUGCAUACGAUGUCAGAUAGCCGUUGGAUGCUUGAGCUUUUAGUGGACGCAGCUUACGAAGUCUAAGCUCGAUCGCCUGGA